GACGAACGCUGGCGGCGUGCUUAACACAUGCAAGUCGAACGGAAAGGCUCCAGCUUGCUGGAGUACUCGAGUGGCGAACGGGUGAGUAACACGUGGGCGAUCUGCCCUGCACUUCGGGAUAAGCCUGGGAAACUGGGUCUAAUACCGGAUAGGACCGCACUUUGGUGUGUGUGGUGGAAAGGUUUUUCUGGUGUGGGAUGAGCUCGCGGCCUAUCAGUUUGUUGGUGGGGUAAUGGCCUACCAAGACGGCGACGGGUAGCCGGCCUGAGAGGGUGGACGGUCACAUUGGGACUGAGAUACGGCCCAGACUCCUACGGGAGGCAGCAGUGGGGAAUAUUGCACAAUGGGGGAAACCCUGAUGCAGCGACGCCGCGUGGGGGAUGAAGGCCUUCGGGUUGUAAACUCCUUUCGCUAGGGACGAAGCUUUUUGUGACGGUACCUGGAGAAGAAGCACCGGCUAACUACGUG
rnacentral:rRNA from 1 species